rnacentral:rRNA from 1 species
GACGAACGCUGGCGGCGUGCUUAACACAUGCAAGUCGAACGGAAAGGCCCUGCUUUUGUGGGGUGCUCGAGUGGCGAACGGGUGAGUAACACGUGAGUAACCUGCCCUUGACUUUGGGAUAACUUCAGGAAACUGGGGCUAAUACCGGAUAGGAGCUCCUGCUGCAUGGUGGGGGUUGGAAAGUUUCGGCGGUUGGGGAUGGACUCGCGGCUUAUCAGCUUGUUGGUGGGGUAGUGGCUUACCAAGGCUUUGACGGGUAGCCGGCCUGAGAGGGUGACCGGGCACAAUGGGACUGAGAUACGGCGCAGACGCGUACGGGAGGCAACGGUGGAGAGUAUUACAGAGUGAGCGGGAGCCUGAUGCGACAACGCCGCGUGCGGGAUGACGGCCUUCGGGUUGUGAACCGCUGUCGCCUGUGACGAGGCGUGAGUGACGGUAAUGGAUAAAGAAGCACCGGCUAACUACGUG